AAAACUAGAAAAAAAAGUUCCACUCUACUGGACAAAUAGCUCGGUAGAUGAGACCAGUGACAAUCACACAUAUAUAGUUCGCACAACACUCCAACACUCUUCCACUUUAAACAGAUAAAACUUACUCUCAAAACUCACUCUUCGACUCAAAACUCAGACUCAAAUUAUCCCUUUUCUCUCCUUUCUCCGAUGUCUUUGUUGAGGAACCCUCUCCCCUUUUAUAAGCGUAUGACGGACUUCAAAUUAUUAUUUUAGGUCUGUAAAGCAAAAGUAAGUCUUCACAUACUGAGGUGACUAAAGGUGUCGGUGGCAGAUGCUCUUUGUCGGUGAACAAUGUUUUGAGCUGACUAAAGGUGUCGAUGGUAGAUGCUCCUUGUCG
rnacentral:lncRNA from 1 species